rnacentral:rRNA from 1 species
CCGGUAAAAAAAAAGAGGGGUCCAGCCUGCCCAGUGACAAAUGUUCAACGGCCGCGGUAUCCUAACCGUGCGAAGGUAGCGUAAUCACUUGUUCUUUAAAUGAGGACUAGUAUGAAUGGCACCACGAGGGUUGCACUGUCUCCUUUCCCUAAUCAAUGAAACUAAUCUCCCCGUGAAGAAGCGGGGGUACUAAUAUAAGACGAGAAGACCCUAUGGAGCUUUAAAUUUCUCUUCAAACGCCAGACACAAACAUCUGACACUUUACAUUAACCCGACGCCUUGAAGAUGAAUUUUAGGUUGGGGUGACCAUGGAGAACAAAAUAACCUCCACGCUGAAAAGGCCUCCAAGCCUUGAGCCGAGGGCUACAACCCAACGCACUAAAAAAUUAACACCCAUUGACCCAAUAUUUUUGAUCAACGAACCAAGUUACCCUAGGGAUAACAGCGCAAUCUACUUCAAGAGUCCCUAUCGACAAGUGGGUUUACGACCUCGAUGUUGGAUCAGGGUAUCCCAGUGGUGCAGCCGCUACUAAAGGUUCGUUUGUUCAACGAUUAAAACCCUACGUGAUCUGAUUUCCAGACCGGA